UAACUAAAACACGCACUGUUCCUCUUCUCCAAAUCGAAUCCAGCCCUAUUUCAGCCUAAAUCCAUGGCGAGUGACUCCACACUCAUAACCACACGUUCCUCCUUCUCUCCUCAUCACCAUUUCUAACAGUUUCUGACACCGAAGAUUCUCCUUCCUUUCGCUUGAUCGAUUUUGAGAUAAGGCACGCGAUUGGAAGGUCCUAAAGACGAUUCGUUGGAUGAGUGUGAGACGUUGGAUUGUUUUCGUUCAAUCCGAGCCCCACAUUCAUCAGGGGUUCGUUUUUAUAAGGGAUCAGAUCCAAUUUUGAAGAGGGAGGAUAUUUUCAGAGGGACUUGGGAAAAUUUCAACAGAGAGGAUCUUGGGAAGAGAUUUGAGAGAUUUCUUUUCUCCAUUUUAUUUGUUCCUUCAAUUCUGAUACUAAAAAAGCAGAAAAAGAAUCAUUGAGUUUUUUUUUGCUGUUUCAUUUUCAUGGCGACCAUUGUUUAAAUCUUCUUUUUUUUUUCAAAUCUCUAGAACUCAUCUUCUUCAUUUUGAUUCUAGAUUUUAGUUUAAAAAAUGGAAAUCAUUUGAAAAGUUUGAGGCUGUUGCUGCUCAAGGACUAAUUUAGCUGCUAUUUGCUUCCUCUUGGUCGAUUUCAAUGUUGUACUAAUUCAGUUUCUCAACUCCAGGUUCAUUUCUCUUCUUCAUUUUAGUUCCCAUUGUAAAUCGAUCUCUGAAUGAGCUAUAAAUGGGUUGAAGUUUGAAAUAAUGACUGAGAUUUGUGUAGUUAUCGUAGGUUCAUCUUGCUGCUCUGUUUUAUUUUUUUUAUUUGUAUCAGCUUCUUCUAUGAUUUCAUAUGUGUACUAAGGAAUGUUUGUAUGAUCCUCUAGUCUCAGAAUCCAUCGAAACAUGUGAUUUGUGUGCUCGUCUGCCUCUUCUGUCAUUGUCCAGCCAUAGUCGAUUUCUUUUUUGUGUGUAAAUGUUUAGGGGUUGGUUCUCAAAUGGCUUGAAGAUUAACUCUGCUCAUUUUCUUUGUAGUGGACAGUCAAAAUUGGUUUGAUUGGUGGUCGACUGAGUUUGAGUGGCUCGUGUGUUUGUUUUCAUGCUUGUUUGUGUACUGGUCGCAAAUCAGUCGAGUUUGUUAGUUUAGUUCAUACACUCGUGCUGAAAAUGCCCAGACUAUCUUGGCACAUGUUUUCCAAUUCGUUUUCACCUUUGAAUGAGAUCAUAUCAUCUUAGCUCUCAAGCAUUUUUAGUUAGUUGGAGAAAACUCGGUAAUGCCCUGUUUCUCAGCAGAUUCUGUGAAAAUUUUAAAGGCUGGAUAUUCGGAUGUCUUUCAUGCUUGGUUCCUUUACUAUGCAAACUUCUGAGAUUUGAAAUUCAUCUGAACCAAGUAUGGUAAUCGAUUUGCUAGAAUCCGGGUUGCUUGUUUGAUGAAAUUAAACUAAUUCCCGUUACUGUUUCCCUCUGUUAAGAAAACAUCAAUAUGACCCCUCUUUGGUCAUGCUUUGAGUGAACUUUCAGCAUCCAUGUUGGAGGUUCAAAUGAAUGAUGUUUGAGAUCUUAUCAAAUGUUUGGUUUCUGCUUCAUAAUUGAUACCCAAAGCAGCCUUAGCUUGUUUAACGAUACUCAAACCAGUAUCAAAUGCUAAUUGGGUUUUGGCUGUUAUUCCAGCUGCAAGUGAUGAUUGAAGUUGAGCUGUUUCUUUGAAUGCGCAUAUGUUGGAUCAUUUUGAUUUUUUUUCUCUGGUUGAAACCUCCUCAGAUUCUAAGAGCCAGAUGGAUGAUUCAUUCUCUCGUAAUUGAAAGAGUUCUUGCAUGAUUGCUA
rnacentral:lncRNA from 1 species